rnacentral:tmRNA from 1 species
CCCCUUCCAAUUCCAGAAAGGCGCACUUAUAUAGGGAUUGCCGGCUUCGGCCGGCUAUGGUGAUAAACGGACGAUGUAAUAAGCCCAUUGGACCCGGGGGCGGUACCCGGCGCCUCCACCAGAAUGCAGCCAAGGCAAGUCCAGGAAAAGUGGACAGCGGUUUUCCGUCAGGACUUGCAAAAUGAGAUGGCUGCCUUCUGGCGGGGGCGAAAUAGGAUCGACAAGGGUGUAAAGAUCGCUCUUUUGCCCGGCAUUGUACCACCGUUAUCGGGCUAACUCAGUAGUUGCAAACGACAACUAUGCGGAGGCACGUCUCGCCGCUUAAUGCGGUGCGAUAGCUUCAAAUCAAGCCUUAGGCCGUCGCAGGUCUAAGCGGGGUUCGGAGGCACCUGGCAACAGAAGCCUCCACU